AUUGAACGCUGGCGGCAGGCCUAACACAUGCAAGUCGAACGAGUGGCGGACGGGUGAGUAAUGUCUGGGAAACUGCCCGAUGGAGGGGGAUAACUACUGGAAACGGUAGCUAAUACCGCAUACCAUCGGAUGUGCCCAGAUGGGAUUAGCUAGUAGGUGGGGUAACGGCUCACCUAGGCGACGAUCCAUAGCUGGUCUGAGAGGAUGACCAGCCACACUGGGACUGAGACACGGUCCAGACUCCUACGGGAGGCAGCAGUGGGGAAUAUUGCACAAUGGGCGCAAGCCUGAUGCAGUAAUGCCGCGUGUGUGAAGAAGGCCUUCGGGUUGUAAAGUACUUUCAGCGGGGAGGCGUUACUCGCAGAAGAAGCAACGGCUAACUACGUGCCAGCAGCCGCGGUAAUAC
rnacentral:rRNA from 1 species